CCCACCCCGUUCAAUUUGAGAAUGUGCUAUUAUUUUGUAAACGGUCAACAUCCCCACCCCUAAACCAUAUAUAUUCUCGUAGGGGACAAUAAAACAAAUCAAAUAGAAUGUAGGUCAAAGUCCUUGGGGUCACCCCCAACCCCUCCUGUUUGAAAACUUGUAAAUGGUGGAGAUCCCUACUCAUGCUACUCAUAAGCCAAAUAAAUCCUUGUAUGGGACAUUCAAUCAAAUCAAUUGAACAUGGGACCAUAUGAAUGGGGAGUUAUGGGAGCUUUGUUUGGGAGACUUCGUAACAGCAUCCUGUUACAAUUACUUCUUGUU
rnacentral:lncRNA from 1 species